CGGAGCCCCUAUGACUGCAGUAGGUGGGCCGACCCAUGGCACCCAGUGACCACUCCUUUACACCGUUCCCCUCCCCUCUCUCUCUAGCGUGCUUACCAGGAGCCCUACCCAGCUCUCUUCCCGACCAUUCUGUGAAGCCCGGAAUAACACACACGCAGAAAAAGUGUAAGGCAGGCAGAGGAGAACACAGGAGGGGCGAGGAGAGUGGGGAAAACGCCCUGGAAACUCGGCUGGUACUAACAGAGUUCAAGUAUUUUAAACACCAAGUUGAGACUGUAAAGAAGUGAUUUUCACGGGCUGAGCCAGAAGGGGGGAGAGGACGACCUCCGAGGAUGCUCCGGCUGGUUUGAGACUGCUUGGCGCACGGUCUGCGCAAAGACUCUAGGAAGACGGGUGCUGAAGAUCUAGAACCAGGGAGAACGUUGGACCUGCUUGAGCAAUCCAAAAUUGAAGAUCUGAAUCCAUGAUGGGUUUUUCUAUGCAUCACACGUGACGACCUACGGGUUUGAAGAGAGGAGAGCAAAACGACAGCCUAACUUUAUUGCAGGGAGGCAACAGAUUGGGAAUAUCAUAAACAACAUUCCAACAUGCCAGACUUAUAAAAACACACACACUCACACCCGCACACAUACAUAUACACAAGCACACACACACACACUCGCACGCUCACACACACACAUGCACAUAUACAUACACACACACUCAUACACACACACACAUACCUACGUACACACACGCACACACACUCUCACACACGCACACACACACAAACAUGCUCACACACACACAUGCUCACACACACACACACACACAUACAUACGUUCACACAAACACACGCUCACACACACACACACACACACACACACACACGCACUCACUCACACACACACACGUAAAGGCCAAAGUCAUGUCCCUUGUAUUUACCAGAGGUUUUGCCGCUGUGGCAUCAGAAACAAUUUCAAUAUCCCACCUCAUGUUUAGGCAUCGAGGCAAGACCUGUAGCUCGGAAAGGAAUAUGAAACACAUAUUGCACAGCUGCUGUCAUAGGUCUAAUAACCCCCCCCCAUAUACAUUAUCUGUUCCCCUGGUUCCUCUCUCAGGCUUAUCUUGGAGAGCAGCGUGUCACCAAAAUUACUGACGACUGCUUUAACAAUAUGAUGGUGAAAGGGGAUGGUGUCAUCCCUCCCUCCCUCCGUCCCUCCCAACCUCACACAAGCUGCGUCUGCAGGCUUUAUAUAGGAUCAUACUGCAACACUUGUUAUUUAUAGAAUGAACCAUUUAGUUGUUGCAUGCCACGGAAAAAAGGAGUGAGUUAGUUAUUAUCACAACAAAUGAAGCGUGAUCCUAUGUAGGCCUAUGCAACGAACGGAAAGGAGAGAGAGAGGGAGAGAGAAUUUUACACUUUGCUUUCCGAUAGAUCAAGAUUUUACAUGCACACACACACAUAUUUGUGAAGCUGUAAUCAGUUUUGGAUUAAUAUCAAACAGCAGUGAUCCAAAUAGUGACAGACAGACAGACAGGCAGACAGACAUGUCACGGCGGCUUCCCUGUGUCGUCUCUCCUGGUACUUUUUGUGGCCCUAUAAUGAGCAAUUUGGCAGCACAUCCAUAACACAAGGCUGCCCAAGGGGGCAUUUGUAAUGCGUCAUUUGUAAGCUAUUUCAUAAAUAGGCAUGCCAUUACAGAACAUGUCUUAAUAUUAUGCCUUAUUUGUGAGACAGCAUAGCUUGAUCAAUUUCCUGAGUUGUAGCAGGAGGGAUAGUCCAUGUUCCACAUUGUGGUUUGAGAGAGAUGGUCUUUGACAUUCCUGCUACAAUCUAGUGCUUCAAAUUGUAGACUAGCACUAUAAUUGAAUCAAAUCAUACAUAUACAAAAACAACCAUGUUUAUUAUCAAGGAAAAAAAGACAAAGUGUCACUUCUUCCGGGCAUAAACUCACUUAUCACCCACUCUUAGUAAUAUCUGUAUAGAUGGCUCCUAUUGUCUCUGUUGUCAGAAGAUAGAAUCACUGAGUUGUUCUCCAGUUGCCAAGUAAACCAAAUAAAAACCCAAUCAUUGAUACUGUGUCUGAUAUCAUGUUGUCUCGUUGUGUCUGGUAUCAUAUUGGUUGAUUAUGGUCCACAUGACAACGUGCAAAAUCAUACUAAAUCAGUUAGUUGAAUAGUUACAGUUCAUCCAAGGCAUAAUCAUUUCACUAUGAUUCUGAUUGAUCUUUUAGGACAAAUGUUAGUCCAGGACAUAGUGUAUUCCUACACUUAUAAGAACAGACACUUUAAUGUCACUAAAGCAUGAAGUGUGGAAGCCACUUGUGGCUACAGAGUCCUGGCUCAGACAGCCUUGUGUCAUUGCAGGGCUGGUCUGUGAAGAGGUAUUAAUGAAACAAUGGGUUGCCUGUUCCAAAGUGUAGUUUGGGUAGGCUAGUCAGCAUUUUUCCAGAAGCAGGGACAAAUGUAAACAAAUAACUUUUAUUUUAUUUUUGUUGUUGCUAUUGAUGUUGUUGCGUUAAAUGGAUAAACACACUCUUAAAGAAGGCUGAGACGGUUGAUGUCUGGUAAAUGUCCUUAUAAGCCCAAAGCUGAUAGAGGCCAUGACUUCAUGAAGGUUGUGUCGUUGCAAAUUGAUUGUCCCUGAAGGAUUCAACCCUUUAAGCAAGCCAUCAAUGUUACCUCAGUUGCUCACUAAUUGCAAGACAGUUCAUAAACUGCACAAUGUUACGAUAUAUGCUACUUUGACAAAUGUUUUUCUUGAUCAACAUGAUCAACAUUAGUUAUAACAUGAAGC
ensembl:lncRNA